AUUGAACGCUGGCGGCAUGCUUUACACAUGCAAGUCGAACGGUAACAGGCCGCAAGGUGCUGACGAGUGGCGAACGGGUGAGUAAUGCAUCGGAACGUGCCCAGUCGUGGGGGAUAACGCAGCGAAAGCUGCGCUAAUACCGCAUACGAUCUAUGGAUGAAAGCGGGGGACCGUAAGGCCUCGCGCGAUUGGAGCGGCCGAUGUCAGAUUAGGUAGUUGGUGGGGUAAAGGCUCACCAAGCCAACGAUCUGUAGCUGGUCUGAGAGGAUGAUCAGCCAAACUGGGACGGAGACAAGGCCCAGACGCCUACGGGAGGCAGCAGUGGGGAAUUUUGGACAAUGGGGGCAACCCUGAUCCAGCCAUGCCGCGUGAGUGAAGAAGGCCUUCGGGUUGUAAAGCUCUUUCGGACGGGAAGAAAUCUUCUGGGCUAAUACACUGGAAGGAUGACGGUACCGUAAGAAGAAGCACCGGCUAACUACGUGCCAGCCGCCGCCGUAACAC
rnacentral:rRNA from 1 species